UAUGGCCAUGUCAUGUUGAAACAUUCAUUCCCAUACAAUCACCGAAGUUAAGUAAUGUUGAGCCUCGUCAGUACAUAGAUGGGUGAGCACUUGGGAAUAACAGGUGUUGUAAG